rnacentral:lncRNA from 1 species
UCAGGAAAGGUCGGGAUGAGAAGGAUGCCUUGUCUGUUAUGCUGUAUUCAUGCCAGAGAACAGGAACUCAAGCCAGCCACUAAAUUCAGGACUGAAGCAAAGGAUUAAUGCAUUUUUCAGACUAUUAGGCCCUAGAAAGUUAAUCCUACUUUGAAGACCUCUAAUUUCCCAGUCCUCAGCCAUAGCUGAUUGGACCAGGAAUAGGUGUCUGAAUGAAUAAACCACUGACUCUCAGAAAUUUGAACUGAAAGAGACAGAGCUACUUGAGCUGAAGAGUCAUAUGGAGGCUCCAUGGAAGUAGUGGUUUUCAGCAAAGCAUAAGAUAAUCAAACAUCAGAUACCCUUGGAGGAGAGAAUGACAAAUGGAUAGAUGUACAGAGUGAAAUGAAGUCAUAAGAAAGAGAGAUGCAGAGAUGGCAUUAUGUGAAGACAUUAACCUUGGUUACCAAAUUAAAUAUCCAGGCCCUGGACAGCCAAC